ensembl:lncRNA
GUUUUUCACUGGUGAUUGGUUUCUUAAUCUAACAUUCCUUUGCAUUGAUGUAGAAGUGAAAACAUGUAGAUAAGUUUUCUUUAACUCAUUGCAAAUAAUGCGCACAUAAAAGUCACUUUUUCAUUUAUUAGCAAUGAGAAAACUUACCUACAUGUUUUCAUGUCGAUCUGUAUUUUUGGUUCCUUUUCCACAUUCUUGCUUCAUUUCUUUUGCUCUGUUGUUCCCUAGGGUUAGGGUUAUGAUAGGUAUUGGUUGGGUUAGAGUUAGGGAAGGUAUUGGUAGGGUUAGGGAAGGUAUUGGUUGGGUUAGAGUUAGGGAAGGUAUUGGUAGGGUUAGGGAAGGUAUUGGUUGGGUUAGGGUUAGGGAAGGUAUUGAUUGGGUUAGGGUUAGGGAAGGUAUUGGUUGGCAUUGCAGAGUGAAGAACUCACCACUGUAGGUCUCUAGAUCGCUUUGGACGAGGACUUUUGUACAGCACCCUCUAUGUAGGGGAC